GCACCACUAAAGGAUUUUUUAUUUAAAAAGAAUAUACCAGUUUAUCGAGAAAAAAUAUCCGAACCAGCUGUCUCCGUUGCUGGCUCGGAGCCUGUGGAGGUUGAUAUGCUGUCCGCCGUCGAGAGCAUAUUAUUGGGCUGCGUCCCCAAAUUGAGGGAUGUCGAUUUGUGGUGUGUUCUUGGGCCCAAGACCUGAAAGUGUUGUGAGACAUGUGCCUCUGCAGGGAGAACCUGCAACCCUGUGUGUGAUCCACCUCUAUUGAGGUGCGCCAUGCAUGGGCGCGCGUCUGUUUUCCGCAGGGUGGCGGCUGGGGAAGAUGUGGCCUACCACAAGGAGCACCUUCACCACUUGGUAAAGCGGCUGGAUGCACCCUGUCUUGCUUGGUUGUCUGCCCAUGGCGGGGUGGGGCUAAUGCCAUCUGGUCCCGCCGCCGGGCUGCUGCUGUGCCUGCGGGUAUGCAGGCAAUGGAGGCCGUGGUUGUGCCUGCUCCUGGUGCAUGGGUGCACGAUGAAGAGAAGGAGGUUGAGAAGGUGGUGGAAGGGGUCGAGGAGGAGGAUAUGGGGAUUCUUGGGGGUUGGAGCUCCGGG
rnacentral:sRNA from 1 species